UUACACAUGCAAGUCGAACGAUGAUCCCCAGCUUGCUGGGGGGAUUAGUGGCGAACGGGUGAGUAACACGUGAGUAACCUGCCCUUGACUCUGGGAUAAGCCUGGGAAACUGGGUCUAAUACCGGAUAUGACCAUUCCGCGCAUGCGGUGGUGGUGGAAAGCUUUUGCGGUUUUGGAUGGACUCGCGGCCUAUCAGCUUGUUGGUGGGGUAAUGGCCUACCAAGGCGACGACGGGUAGCCGGCCUGAGAGGGUGACCGGCCACACUGGGACUGAGACACGGCCCAGACUCCUACGGGAGGCAGCAGUGGGGAAUAUUGCACAAUGGGCGAAAGCCUGAUGCAGCGACGCCGCGUGAGGGAUGACGGCCUUCGGGUUGUAAACCUCUUUCAGUAGGGAAGAAGCGAAAGUGACGGUACCUGCAGAAGAAGCGCCGGCUAACUACGUGCCAGCAGCCGCGGUAAUACGUAGGGCGCAAGCGUUAUCCGGAAUUAUUGGGCGUAAAGAGCUCGUAGGCGGUUUGUCGCGUCUGCUGUGAAAGACCGGGGCUCAACUCCGGUUCUGCAGUGGGUACGGGCAGACUAGAGUGAUGUAGGGGAGACUGGAAUUCCUGGUGUAGCGGUGAAAUGCGCAGAUAUCAGGAGGAACACCGAUGGCGAAGGCAGGUCUCUGGGCAUUAACUGACGCUGAGGAGCGAAAGCAUGGGGAGCGAACAGGAUUAGAUACCCUGGUAGUCCAUGCCGUAAACGUUGGGCACUAGGUGUGGGGGACAUUCCACGUUUUCCGCGCCGUAGCUAACGCAUUAAGUGCCCCGCCUGGAG
rnacentral:rRNA from 1 species